UGACUGCGGACGGCUCAUUACACCAGCUGUAAUUUACUUGACCUUGACAAACCUACUUGGAUAACUGUGGUAAUUCUAGAGCUAAUACAUGCACUAAAGCUCCRAUCUGCAAAGAGCGGAGCGCAUUUGUUCGCCACAAAACCAAGCGCCUCCGGGCGUUCUGUGUUGACUCAGAACAACUCAGCUGAUCGUACGGUCUUGAACCGACGACGUGUCUUUCAAGUGUCUGCCUUAUCAACUUUCGAUGGUAGCGUAUGGGACUACCAUGGUUGUGACGGGUAACGGAGGAUAAGGGUUCGACUCCGGAGAAGGGGCCUGAGAAAUGGCCACUACGUCUAAGGAUGGCAGCAGGCGCGCAAAUUACCCACUCUCGACUUGAGGAGGUAGUGACGAGAAAUAACGAGACUGAUCUCACAUGAGGCCAGUCAUCGGAAUGGGUACAAUUUAAACCCUUUAACGAGUAUCUACGCGAGGGCAAGCCUGGUGCCAGCAGCCGCGGUAAUUCCAGCUCGCGAAAUGCAUAGAAUUAUUGCUGCGGUUAAAAAGCUCGUAGUUGGAUCUGUGCCGGCUGCCCGGUCCGCUCACUGAGCGGUACUGGUGCCAGCCGGCUUUUGUGCCGGUCUUCCCCGGCGUCGGGCCUUCACCGGCUGGCGUCGGUGGCUGGCGAGUUUACUUUGAACAAAUCAGAGUGCUUCAAACAGGCGUUUCGCUUGAAUGUUCGUGCAUGGAAUAAUAGAAGAGGAUCACGGUCCGAUUUUAUUGGUUUUGCUGACCGAGAUAAUGGUUAACAGAGACAAACGGGGCCAUUCGUAUUGCCGCGUGAGAGGGAA
rnacentral:rRNA from 1 species